GCGGACGUGGCGAACUGGUAAACGCAAGGGAGUUAAGAUCCCUCGGGCUUGCCCGUACGGGUUCGACCCCCGUCGUCCGCACCA
rnacentral:tRNA from 1 species